AGUUACUUCCCGGGGACUAUUUGUCUUGAAAACAAAUUAAAAGUGUUCGACUCACUUAGUGACUU
rnacentral:tRNA from 1 species